UCUAAUGACAUUCUUGUCAAGUUAGCUAAAAGUGACAAAGUGGUUGAUUCUCUAAAGGACUUGAGAUACAAGGUAGUGGAAGCACAACUUAUAAAGCAGUUGACUGAGAUUGAGCUAUUGAUUAUGGUCUCUAUAAACAAGCAUAUCAUGCUUCUAUAGAUGUGGGCAACAUUUUGGAUCAGUAUGAGAUAUCCAAGCUUCUUAAGGGUCCAUUUGAUAUGGCAGGAGCAUGUUUGGUAAUAAGAGCUGGACCUGCCGCCAUCUAUCCAAAGGCCUAAUUGAUUGCUUAAAUCCACUACAGCUGGUGUAGGAAGUUACGUGGGAAGUUGCCUUUACAGACCUGGAGAUUAUUUUUAGCCAAGUUCCUUCUAUUGAAAAUAUCUUUUGAUUUUAAUACUAGAAAUGGUGAACUUGUUGCCCCAUAAAAGAAGAAGAUGGUAUACCCUUAAACUUUUCUCUGUGAAGAUUUCUAGAGAAAAAAGUUACAUACUUGAAGAGCUCUCAAAGAUUGGAAAGGAAAAGAAGAAUGUCAUCGACUACAGUGGAAAUCAACCUCGUGCCUCAAAAAUGCUUUUGGGAGUUAAUGACAUGUCAUGAAGAUAAUUAAUUUUCUGCAUGGUUCGAUGAUUUUGGACCAAAGCAUUUCCAUUUCACGUUGGGAAGCUUAUACAGAUGACAAUAAUUGGAACAGGCAUAACGUUGAAGACAGUAUUACAUGCUCUCAAGUCGGGUCUUUCUAAUGUAACUGCUGGAGCUGGAAAAUCAGAUGGCGUCUCUCAACAAGUUGGGUUAGGCACACGUGUUUCUACUCCUAGAAAUGAUGUCGAUAGCAAUUCUGCAAUCAAUGAUAGGCGGGAUCGUCCUGUUAAUUCAGACAAAGAAAGGAUAUUGUGGUUCAAACUAGUUCCGGGGAGCCUUUCAAACCGAAGUGAGUCAUGGUCAUUGGUGGAGAUGGAUAUUGUGGUUGGGCGACCGCCCUCCAUCUUUCUAUGAUAGAUCUGUCGAGAGCGGUGUAUAGGCAGCAAAACAAUGUUUUUGGGACACUGAAUGUGCUCUUUGCUAUAAAAGAGUAUAAAUGUUUUUGGGACAUUGAAUGUGCUCUUUGCUAUAAAAGAGUAUAAAGAGGAUUGCCAUUUGGUUAAGCUUGGGACAAUGGGUGAAUACGGGACUCCGAAUAUUGAUAUUGAGGAAGGUUAUAUUAAGGAGUAAAAACAGACGAGACUGCAAUGCAUGAAGAGCUGUGUAAUAGGUUUGAUUAUGAUGCUAUAUUUGGAACUGAAUGGAUUUUGUGUUCAGGCUGUUGUUGGUCAUCCACUCACUGUUUAUGGUAAAGGAGGCCAUUUUAUGUGUAUGAUUUUAUAGUACUUGAAAUAUUAUGAAUGCACAUGAUAUUGUAUACUUUUUGGUUAAUAUUAAAAAUAUUUUGACUUAGUUAAAAUAUGAUUUU